UCUUUUAUUUUUCUUUUUCCUCUUAGUUUUCUUUCCCCCCCUUUUCUUUUGUUUCUCUUUUCCUUUUUUUUUCUUUUUUUCUUUUAUUUUUUCCAUCCUUUCAUUUAUUUUUUCUCUUUUUUCUUUUAUUUUUUCCUUCAUUUUAUUUAUGUAUCCUUUCUUCUUUUCAUUUCUGGUUUUUUCCUUCUUUCAUGCUUUCUUUUCUUUUUUCCCCCUUUCCUUUCUUUUCAUUUUUCCCUUUUCCUUCCCCUUCCCCCCUUUCCUUCCCUUGUUUUAAUUUUCCUUUAUUUCUCUUUCCUGUCUCUUUUCCUCUCCUUUACCUUUUUCUCUUCCCUUACUUCCAUCUAUUCACUUCUCCCACUUCAUUUUCCCUCACUGACUCCACUCCGUUCCUCCCCUCAUUCCCUCACUUCACCAUCACACCCCCCUCCAUCUCUCUUUGCCCCCUCCCCACACCCAGCCCAGCAGCAGCUCCCCCUGGGAUAUCCCCACGUUCCCGGAGACCUUUGGGGUUUCCUCCUGCCUGUUGGGGUGGGGGCAGUGGGUUUUUAAGCCCCCAAAUGCCCAUUUCAGGGGAAACACCUUUGGUUGCACAGUGAUGCUGCGAUGUGCGUCGGUGUAAAGCGGCUCCUGGAAUAGGAGAAGACGAAAGUUGCUCCUGAGUUCGCUGCCUGCAGGGCUGCUGUGGGGAGGCUGCUGCUGGCACGGUGCGAUCUGAGGCUGUGGGAUUUUGGGGUGUGCAGGAGCUCCUCCUCCUGGGAUGGGGACCUGGAUGUGGGAGGGCUGCGGGGGUCGGGAUGUGGGUGCUGGGACGUGGCAUCGGGUGUGGGUGUUGGGGUGCAGACGUUGGGGGAUGUGGAUGUUGUUGGGGAUGCAAAUGUUGAGUUGUGCCGAUGAUGUUGGUGGAGGUGUUGGGAUGCAGGUGAUGCCGGGGGUGCAGAUGUUGGGGGAUGAGGAGGUUAUUGGGGGAUACAGAUGAUGUUGGGAUGCUGAUGUUUGGUGCGGGUGUUGAUGAAUGCAAAUGUUAUUGGGGAUGCAGGUGGUGUUGGGGUACGGAUGAUGUUGGGGUGCAGAUGUGGGGGAAUGCAGAUGUUAUGAGGGGAUGGAGGCAUUGGAGGUUGGAGAUGUCGGUGGUGCAGGUAUGGGGGUGCACGUGUUGGGGAUGUGGAUGACGUUGGGGUGCAGAUGUUGGGAUGCUCAUCUGCUCUGCCAUUGUCAACCGCUUGUUCAAAUUCAGGGCUUUGCAUGCAGCCCUCAGCAGAGCAGCAGUGAGGAAGUGACUGCUGGAGGGGGGACUGGCUGCAGAAGCAAAUCAAUGUGUCUUGGGAUUGGGUUUCUUUGCUCCCACCCCGCUGCCGGCAGUGCGGCCCCAAAUGCCUCCUUUCGCCUCCAGCCUUCACUUCCAAUCUGCAAAACCAAGUGAAAACAACUGCUGCUGCUCCCCGCAGCCCCACGAGCUGCUCUGCACGGUGCAUGGCACAGAGCUGGGGCACUGGGAGGUAGUGUUUUAUCGGGGCAAAAAUAGAAUCCUGAGCUGAAAGCGCGUUGUGCCCUGAUGGGGGACCAGUGGCUGCUUCGUGCAGUGCAGGGUUCAUGGCUGAGACUUAAAUUUGGUGCAGUUUGUUCACCGUGUCCCACCUAAUGAGAAAGCUUGUAGGAAGAGCUUGUUAGGAGGAAUGCAUCCCUGGGAACAGGUGCUUUCUGACUUCACUCCUGCCCACAAGGCUGUCUCACUGGUGUGUCACCAGGGCAGAAGGGGAUGUCUCACUCCGGCUGGUGAUGGAGCGUGGCUUGAGAAUGCUUUUUCCUACAGAUUGAUCUGAACCUGCCCAGUUUUACUGCAAAGUCUUCAUCCGUUUGGGCUGUGCUUUAAAAUAAAGGCUCUUAAGAAACUGGGGUUAGAACUGGAUGAUCUUUAAGGUCACUUCCAAGCUAAAGCAUUCUACAUUACGCUUUCCCCUAAAGAAUAGUGUUGGUCCGUGAGACCCUCCCCAGGCUGUGCUGAUGGCUGGGGGAUGGCUGUCUUCUUGUGAGUUAAUGAAACGUCUGUCAUAGGAAAUUAAUAGGAGAAGGGUUGCAGUAAUGAAAUCAAUCAAUAGGAGAUGCUAACGAGUACUUGCCCAUCCCUAGGGCUGUACCUGGGUGAUCUCGGCAGGAGCCAGCAGUGAGUGAUUCCGGCUCUGUGCAGUGGGUCUGGCCAGGAGGUGGAAGCCAGGAGUGUACAGUUCUGUGUGUAUCUGUGCAAACGAGCCCAUGUCUGUGCAAAUGGCCCCAAAUGUGUAUGCGGGGGGGUUCCUGCAGUGAGAUGCCAGGGACCUUCUGGGAAUUGUUCAGCUGCUCGGGCUGGCUUUGCUCGCUUGAAACCAAACGUGUCCCUGUGAGCCGGAGCAAGGAGGUCACACGUGGGGCUGCAGGGCAGGCAUAAGCACUGUUAUUGAGCAACGGGUGAGGAGAAAGCAAUGAAAUAAUCAGAAAGCCAUUAAACAACACCCUGCAGUGAAGGCGGAGGGUGCUGAGCGCUGCUGCACCUCUGCAGCACCCCAUACCUGGCUGCAAGUUCUGUGUGUGUGUCAGCUCCUGGCAGGGGUUGUGUUGUGCUACAAAAGUCUCUGAUAAAGGUGGUAAAAAAAAAAGAGGUUUUGUGGGUUCCAUGUGGACUUCUGGCCUCGGGCUCUGCCAUCCUGUCCCAGCUUUCAGUGCAUCCCAGCUCUGCCAUCAUUUGGAAAUGCAAGCAUGCGGUGUGUUCCCAGAGCCCAGGGAUUUGCCAGAGAAUCAGAGGUGCUGCUAAAAGCAUGAGGACACAGCAGCACAGUCCUGUUUUUAAACCAUCUCCAUGGGGGAAUCUCAUAGGCCCUGGUCUGGGCCCGGGGGUUGUCCAUGUGUCUGCAGUGGGACUGGGACCAAUACUUUGCAUUUCCAUCACUUUCAGCAUGUUUUCUCCUACUCGGCUGGCGUUACAGAGAGUUCUUGAAGCUGUAAAAGGGAAAACUGAACAAAAAUCCCAACACAAAAAACCCCACAAGCAAUUCUUUUUCCCCCAGCUUUCAUUUUGCAGUUCACCUUUCUUUCUGGACUUGUAAUUUCUGCUGGGGCUUCUGGCUUCCUAAAGAAGGGUGAAAAAGUAAAAAGAAAGCGGGCGUUUAAUAAUACAUCAAAAAUGAGAUUAAGCAGUAAGUCAGCCCUGCCCUACGCUCUCGUUUCCCAAAAAGCAACCAAAUAAAUUGCAAAUUGCCCUGGAAAAGGGGAGUAGAAACAGUGAAGAUCAAACCCAGUAUUAAGAAUAGAUGAGGUGUUUAUAUUUUAUUUAAUGGCUGUACACUGCCACCGUCUCCCAAACCAUCCUAUGAUUCUGUGAAAAGCUGCCCUGCCUCGAAUUGCUGUUUGUGAUGAAUAAAACAGCAGAGCUGAACUGGAAUGGGUGAAAUGCAGCAGGUACUGAGCUCUGCAGGUGGAUGCGGUGCUUGUCAUUAGUGGGUGAUGUUGGUGUUGGCCCUGGUUGGAAGUGGCUUCCAAAAUCCGCAAUGCUUCUUGCUGCUGUCUGUCUCUGGUGGUUUUUGGACCACGUUUGGUGGAGCAGAGAUCUCAAAGGGAAGGAAACCCCACGGAAUGUGCAGAAUGGAGGGGGUGGGCAGAAGUGUUGAAGUGAGCUCAUGGGUGGUUACUCACCAAAGGAGUCUCUCGGCAUGUCUAAGCCUGGAGGAGCGUUCGAUCAAGGCAGAUGCGUGAUGAGACAUGAAUCUCCUGGAAGGGAGGCCUCAGCCUGGCACCAGGUGUUGAGGCCUUCAGCCCCGGGCUUGUUUUUGUUACUGUGAACCUUCUGACUCCUUUGGGCCUUGAUUUUCAGACCUUGGUUUUGGUGAUGCCAUUGAUACCUCUUCACUCAUGGAGAUCCUUGGAGUCUGUGGGGAGCUGCUUUGUCCUGGUUUAUUCCAAAGGCCUCCAGAGCCCGUGUGGGCAUGGUGUAGGUUGACUGCGUGGUCUCAGGGAAUCUCGUUGGGAGGGCUCUUGCACUGUCCCUACAGGAAGCAAGAUGGCAGAGGAGGGGAGUUUCAUUCUGCCCCAGACUGGCUGUUCCUGAGGUCUUGUUUGUACCCAUAACCGCCAAAAUAUCAUCCAGGACAUGAGGUACAGCCAAACUUCUCCAAUAUCAUCCCGGCCAGCACAACAAAUGGAUUGACAUGAUGGGUCAGCAGUUGGACAACGGGUUGGUGGUUGGACAAGAUCAUGGUAGUGGUCUUUUCCAACCCUAAUGAUCCUGUGAUUCUGUGAAUCCAGCCUAGGUUGCACCAUGGAGAUGAAGAUGUACAUGUACAGCUGUAGACCUUUUCCUUGCUAAAUAGCCUACUGUUAAGUUCAGAUGGUCUCACAGCCCCUGUGACUGAAGUGGGGGAGCUUCGUCCUUCACAGCUGGAGGUGGUACAGGCAUGGCAGGGGGAGGAUGAAGGCAGCAAUCCCAUGUGUGGGUCUGGCACACGGGGCUGUGGACAUUCACGAGGGCUGCCGUAGCACGAGAUCUGCCUUCCUGCUGGGAUGCACCAAUCCCACGUGUCAGUACCGUCCUCUCAGGUACUCAUUUGUCUUGUUUGUCACCUCCUUCCUCAUAGCUCAGCACUUUUCAAAUUGAAGGAGGGUCUGUUCCAGCUACAGGGCUGCUGCUCUUCUUGUUUGUUCUCUAAAAGGAAGAAAAUAAGAUGUGCCAGAUCUUAAACUCAGGGGAAAAAAUUACAGAGCUUGGAAUAGCCGCUUGAAGGUAGGAUGAGCCUCAACAAGAAGGUGUUUUUCUUCCACCUUUUUCUGAGGCUGUGUACAUGUAAUGGUGCAGGGAGAAGAUGGGGUAAGGUUUCCUUUGUUUGCACACUGGUGUCUUCCAAACGUUGGGCAGUUGGGAUAUUUUGUUAAAGUUGCUUUGCCAGCUUUGUACGGAGCUGAAAACCUCAGCUUGGUGGAGGUGGGAUGGAGGCAGGGUUGCACUUAUGUUAUCUGCCUGGUUUUCCCGGUGAUGCCUUGAGGCAAACCAGCAAAGUGAGGCCAUGCUGCCCACUGUGUGCAGCUUUGAAGAGCUCUCUCCCUCCAUAUCCCUUUUCCAAGGGCAAGAUCAGAACGAAGAUACGCGAUUGAGUCAGCAGUGCAGAUGCCAUCAAACGUCUGCUUUGUUCCAGUGUAUGAAUUGGAGGGCCAAGUGUCAGAGCCUCAUCUCCUGCAUCACCUGAUAACAGUGCAGUUACCUCCAAGGAAACAAAACAUGGAGGAAUCCCAAAUCCUGGCUGCUGUGAGCACUUAUAACUCAUUGGCACCAGCAGGCCUGAUUUUAUUGCAACUCUUGCAAUAGUGGGUGUGGAUUUCUUUUUUAAAUCCUGCAGACUGUAGCCAAAUUUGCAGAAGUGAUCCAGCAUGUGUAUGCACACAUACAUGAGUAUAUAAAUAGGACUGUUUUCUGGAGCACAAGCCGUUUCAUUAACCCCUGUUAGACCAGUAAGGGCCAUGUGUGCCACCAGCAUGGGUCCUGACUGCUCAUCCUGCAGGCUGUUUAAUGCAGCAUCUGUUGCUUUCUUGGGGAGGAAGGGGAUUAGCUUCAUUUGUCUUUCCAACCGUUCAUUUACCUCCAAACUCAUCUUAAUUUGGAAAUUAAAAUUCCUCUUGGAUGUUCUGUGUAGAAGUGAAGCCCCUUAUCCCCAGAGGUUUUCUGCUGCUUCCUUGACAGGCUUUUCCAUCCCCAUGUGCUGAUUCUGAUGGCACAGACUCAGCGACAGCAUUUCUUCCUAUUCUGGUGCCCUCCACAACGGUGGUUUUGCAUCAGCCCCGGAGCCAUGUCCUCCUGCAGCCCUAUGCCUGCGCCCAGCUUGGGAAGGGCUCAAAAUGGUGCAGUUUAUAUCCUUCUAAACCAGAUAGAGUUGUGGCAUUUUGCACAAAGCUGGCUAUAUUGUCCCGUGGUGACAGAAGGGAGUUGUGUAAAAGGCACUCGUGCUGCUCUGGCAGUGGUGGGGGCAGAGAACAACAAUUUCUCCCAAAUCCUUCUUUUUGCUCAUUCCUUGGGGUCUUAAACUGGACACUACAAAGGGUUGUGGGGAUGAAGAGUAUCUGUGGGGUUCCCCAUCUGUAGAUUUGAGGGAGCACUAGGUCAAACGCCCUGUGCUACAUUACAGAUCUUGCUGCAGCAAUGCAGAGAGCAGACAUCAGUAAUUAGGGAUUGCACAACGAAGUGCUGGAAUGUCUCACACGUGACUGAUGUUUCACACACAGAUGAUGCUGUGCAGAGAUCCAUGUGAAAGUUCUGUGCAGCCUGGCUGGAGAAGGUUGUGCUACCAUCUGAGCCUUUGUAAGAGAAGAGAAUAGGAAGGAAAAAUAAUACUGCAUCCCAAAAGGCUUUGUAUUCUUUAAGGCUCAAGCUUGGGGACUUUAAGGUGCCCCCUAUUAUACGGUGUGUGUAUAAGGAAUUGAUGCACAUUAAUGGUUAUUUUUUCCUCUGCUUCCCACUUCUUCAAAGCCAAGCUGCCUCCUAUGGGGACUCCUAACAUGAGAAAAGAAGUAAACUUCUGGGCUGUGAUGGAGGAUGAGGAAUGUCUGUUCCCUGGGGUCUGAGUCCCUGUGGUCUGAUGGUGAGAGCUCUGGGCCGUGGGCUGACAAAUGCCACUUCUCAGCUGCUUGUUCGCCCUGCAGCAAAUGCAUGCACAGGAUGUAGGCAUCUCCCAGGGACAACGUUCUUACCAGCUCUUAGGUGAAUGUUCUGCACUUUUUCAGAUGCAGUUAAAAAUAAUCAGAAGGCUGGUGGUAUUUUGAACAGCCACCUCGGUGGAAAUGAUGACCUUGGAUCUAUUCAAUCAAAUAUUAUAAAGAUUAAGAGUGAAAAUAGCUGAGCUUGUCAGCCACGAGGAAUUGUCUUGCAGCCCGGGCUCAAAUCCAUCACCUGAAAUCAGGAGGCUCUGGCAGGGUAUUCCUCAUUCAUCAGCAGAAGGCAUCGCAGCGAGAUCAUUCUGCUGCAAUUCAUCAAUUUGUCCAGCUCCUUGAUUAAGCAGGGCUGGGAGAGAGGCAGAAGGUGGGGACAGCGCCCAGUAGCUGUGCGCAGGCAACUGUUGCAUGAACACAUACAAUUUUCACCCUGCAACUGUUAACAAGGUAAUUUGCCUAAUAUUGAAUGUAAUUUUUAAGUGCAGAGUAGUUUAUUAGCUCAGUAUAGGCUGUGUUUGCUACUGAAUUGACUUUCAGGAGCCAAUCGACAGGAGUCUUUCAGCUCCUUGCCUCUUGAUGCUAGCUUGAAGCAUGAGAGAUGGCUUCUGUACUCUUUUGUUGUCUGGAUUAUCUUUGCGGCCCCUCAAACUGCAAUCUCAUGGCUGCAGCCUUCCUGCCUCCAGAUGCCAAGGCAAGCCUGCAAGGGCUGCUUUUCUCAUCACACUUCCAAGCCUUGUUAAAAGCAAAGCAGGGACACCUCCCACCAGCCCAAGCUGCCCAAAGCGCCAUCCAGCCUGGCCUUGAGCGCUGCCAGGCAUGGGGCAGCCACAGCUUCUCUGGACAGCCUGUGCCAGGGCCUCACCACCUUCAUCAUGAAGAAUUUCCUCCUAACAUCUAACCUACAUCUCAUUUCUUUUUGUUUAAAACCGUUCCCUGUUGUCCUAUCACUGUCUGACUAAAAAGUUGUUUUUUAUGAAUGUCUCAUUUUGGACUUUUCCUUAUUCCCGAGUACAUCCAAGUACUGUUUUUUCUCUGAGCAGCUAUACCAGAAUCUUUAGGUUGUCUCACUGAGAGUUCUCUGCUUGGCUCUGCAGCGGCACUCCCUUGUUUUGCCCUUACGAUCGGCAUCCUUGUUGUUUUCUUACUAAGUUACACUCCAUCUCAUCCAAUCUCACCACGCAUGUUUGCACCACCCCUGUCCCUCCUGAACCUGUUGGAAGAUUUCAGCCAAACCUGACGAGGAGAGACAGGUCUGCAGGGCUAAUUAAGAUUGCACAAGUGCAAGAGAAGCAGGCAGAGGGACAGCCCAGGUGCUCACUGAGCCUUGGGAGGGCUGCAGCUCAGCCAGCAUGAGCAGACACUGGGCAGGAAUCGUCAGCUGAAACCAGGUGUAGCCCCUUGUUGCCUGUGGGUGGUGGUCUUCAUUAACAGCAAAAAUUAUUGUGCAUUCCAGUGGGGUGGUGGUUUGGGAUGAACUGGCCCUAGAAGAAACCUGUGGCUCUGUGGGAAGUGGAGCUGCCUGCCUGCUUUUUGUAGAAAGUCAGCCGAAGUCUUCAGGAGGGACUCAGGAUGGUGAGCGCUUCUUUCUAGCGGGGUUUCUUUCAAGCCCAAUUAUUUUCCUUCAACAAAAUCAAGGAGAUGAAGCAGAAGAAAUUGUUAACAGGAGGAUAGAUGUGGUACUUAGGGAUGUGGUUUAGUAGGCAUGGUCAUGAUGGAUGGGUUGGUGGUUGGGCUUGAUGAUCGUGGAGGUCUUUUCCAACCUUAAUGGUUGUGUGAUUCUAUGAUUCUAUGAAAUUAAAGUCAAAUUGUCUCGUGCUGUCCCUUGCACACUUGUGCCGCAGGGGCCUUCUCCUCAUCCACCAUGGGCAAAGCACAUUGAGACUAUACAAACUGGGAUGGAAGGAGAAAAAGAUGAUGAGUCAGCUCUAAUCCUGCCUAUCUGCACUCAGGGAGGCCUGCCUGGUGCUCCUGACAGGUUCUUGCAGAGCAGAUAAUGCAUCAGACCGAUGACAGCCGUAAGAUAUACUGCAAGCGGUCUGAAAAUUGCUGGUAGGUACUUGAAUGUCACUGCCUGCACCGAAUGAAUUGUAGGUUGAGUCGCAACAAUUUCCCUAAAGCUGUGUAUAUUAGCAUACAAAUACCAAAGAUGUGUAAUCUUUGAAUUUUUAUCUGUUUCGGCUUGAGAGGCAAAUAGGCGCAUUAUCAAAGUGCCAUCCAUUUGAGUCAAUUGUCAUCGCUGCAUUGUGAACAGGAUGCAGCUGGGUUUAUUGAUAACAGCAUUAAGGUGCUUAAAAACACAAGUGUGCUGGGUUUAUUCUCCCUUUAGGAACAUAUUGUUGUUUCUCGUGUUUUUUAAAGUCAUUUUUUCAGUUCUCGUCUCCUCUGUAAUAGAGAUGUACUGCAUUUCCAUAUCGUUUUCCCUCCAAGAAUUUGUUGUAAGCCUGAACUUGUUUCAUGGCUUUCUUGAAAAUUUCAAGGUAAUUCCAUUUGCUGGAGGAAAGGCUGGGGAAUGGGCUAAUGAGGAGGCUCUGCUUCUGUCUGCCUUUUUAAUUUUCCCUUGAUUAAAGCCCAGCUGAAAUGCAAGUAAGUGGCCAAAGCUUUCUGCUGAUCUCUGUCAUGCUAUCACUGUGCCCAUUUUAUUUCCUGAGCUGCUCUGCCCAUCAGUUUUGUACCCACUUAAGAAUUCAAUUUCAUAAGUGAGGAUUUGGGUUUUGGGGGAAAUACUUGAGGUUGUGGGCACCUCCCUGCACCAGAGGACCUCAGAGAAACCUCAGAGGAAGCCGUGCCCUGUGACUGGGAGCCCAGCAUUCCUGCCUUCUGCUGAGCUGAUUUUAAAAAUUCCCUUUUAGGAGCUGUGCCCAAUGACUUCAGCAUUUUACCUUUGUUCCCAUCUUUAAGCAGUCCCUGCACCCCAGGAGGUAGUUGUGGGGAUUAGUUGUUGGUUUCGGAGCUCUUUGAAGAUGGAAAGUGGUGUGUAACAGCUCAGUGUUUAUUAAUAGUAGAGCUUAAUAUGGUGAGCAGGAAGUUCAGAUCUGCCGGGAUGGAGCCUCAGCCAUUGAAGUGGGCAUUGCUUCGCUGCUCUGCCUGGCUGAGCCGUUGAUGCCACCCAGUAUCUGGAUGCCCGAGUUGCAUCCCACAGAAAUCCUGGCUGCUCCUAUAGUGAGCUCUCCUUCCCUUGGCCUCCUGCCAUGGCGUACGCCAAGUUAAAUCUGCUUCUGUGUUUUUGGCUUCAUUCCUUCUAAAUGUUUUCAGUGUUGUUGGCUUUAACUGAUCCCAGUGGCAUCUUCAUAUGAUGCUCUGUAUUCAGCUUCUUCUACUGCUUCAAAUAUAAUAACACUCCUAAAGUUCAACCAAUUUUUUAAUUAAAAAAAAAGAGAAAGUGCAGUGUUGUUCUAUCAUACUAUUAAAAAAAAAAAAGAUUUUCCUUCAUCUUGAGUUGGACUCACUGAUCCUUGUGGGUCCCUUCUGAAUCAGGAUAUUCUGUGAUUCUGUGGUCUUUAAAUUGGAAUGAAUUCAAAAUUCAGCAUAGUGGUUGGGGGGAACAUUACUGUAAUUGGAAGGGCAAGUUAUUCUUUUUUCUUGCUCUCUUGGGAUUCGUAUUGGUUAAAGAGGAGUAUUGCCAUUUGUUGGUGAUCUCAGGGUUUCUGAUGAACUCCAGACCAUAGGACUGCCCCAGAGCUGCCCCAAAAGAAUCAAGUGCUCCUGCUUUGCCCAACGUUUAAGACAGGACUGCAAUCAGCAGCCCUGCUCUUCCCACCUACCUUUGCUUGCUGAUGUUGCUCUUCCUUCAGUCUGUUAACAGAAUUGUUGGUAACAGCACUCAGUGUGUAACUGAGUGGUGGAAGCGAUCUGGGUUAAAAAAAAAAAAAAGGUUCAAUGAAAGAGUUUUAGCCACGUUCAUUCUAUUUUAGGACCAGGUUGUCCUUUGUGUGAGAAUAGAAAUUAAUUUUGUUUCAAGUUCUGAAAACCUGAAGACAUGCUGAAUAGAUGAAAUUGUUUCUGUUUAUAGGCUGCAGAAUUCCUUUGUACAAUAAAAGCGUUUUAGUUUAAACUAUGUAUUCAGCACAUUUAGCUUAAUUUUAUUUAACUGCAAGUCUUACAUGCUGUUUUCCUGCAUUCAAAUUGUUUUUUAAGUUUGUAGCAUAAAUCCUAUUUACAAUUAAAAAGUCAGGCUGCUCAUUAAGAAACUUCAUUUACCAUUUUUAACAUAAAAUGCGUUAACUUCCAUAGUUUAUUAAUUUAUACAAAUGCCCAACUGUAGAAGUAGGACAGCUUUCCCGUUAUCCAGAGGCCUGAUUUACAGAGAAAUGAGCCUUUGUUGUUCUCCAGCAGCAAAAGGCAGACUUUAAUUAAGGGGAAAAAAAAGACUAAAAAUACAAAGCAAGACAGGUUAAAUCAAUCACUUAGGAGCAAAGUAUUGCUUGGCAUCCAUAAAUCUUGUCAUCACAGAGGAAAAAGUAGGAUGGCCAAAAAAGGAUUGGCAGAGAAGCUGGCAGUAGUGUUGCUCAAGGACUGGUCUCAGGACUGCCGUUAAGCAUUGUAUUCACAACUGGAGUAGCAGAAAUGACCAUUUUGAGGUUUCAUCAAACCAGGAAUAAUAGAAUCAUAGACUCUUUAAAGUUGGGUUUGGUGAGCUUAGAGAUCUUUUCCAACCUCAAUGGUUCUGUGAUUCUGUGUUCUUUGGUUUAAGAUCUCCUGGAGCCUUUCUGCCCUUCAGCCCGGUCAGAUUCACAAACUUUUCUGCUUGAAUUGAAAGCCUUGCAAACCUACCUUUAUUUUGCUUAAACUGAACCACUUUUAUGGAAAAUGGGCUUGAAUUGAGUUGUCACAAGCAGCUAUUAUUAUAACAGCCUCACUAUUUGCCUGAAAUGUGCAGCAGGAUCACCUUGUGUUUGUUCAGUGCCCAUUUUGUAAAGAAAUCUGUCAGCUAUUACAGUCAGGACGUAGGGCCCCGCUGUUACUAUUUGUUCUUCCUUCUAGAUCUGGAAUUUAAGAUUCCUUUAUCAGCCAGUUCCUAGGAGCACAUCCUUCUCUCUCUAGUCACUUCAACAUGCUCUGUGCACACAUCCAGAUCUGAUGGUGUGGUCUCCAGUGGACCUCUAGCACAAUCUUGGCAGACAGCCUUUUACAGCCUUUUCCCAAAGUGACUUUAAUCCAGAGUGAUCAUUUUAUGCAUGCUAUCGCUUUGGAUUUCCAGCAAGUACAGAUGAUUCACUCAGCUCACAGAAAGAACUGCAGAGCAUUGUCCCAGAAGAUUAUUUAAGUAGAGUUUGGAGAGUGCACAUCUGGGGCUAUGUGUGCAAUGUGCAUGCUCAGGUCUGGCUUUGGUUUGGGGUUUUGAGGGUUCCCUUCCCUUCCCUUCCCUUCCCUUCC
rnacentral:lncRNA from 1 species